rnacentral:lncRNA from 14 species
CCCCAGAUCCCCAGUGGAAGAGUCUAGGCAGGUGCUACUGUGGACCUCUGCACACAGCAACAGAAGCAGUCUUUCCUUAAACACUUCCGACACAGAUAGGUAGUCCUGAUUGCUCUGAAUAGAUAGCAGACCUAAGUCCAUGAAACAGGAUGUGAUGCACUUUCUAACCAGUCCCCCCAUCGUGACGUUCUACCUCUUCCCAUGGUUCCUGCAGGCAGGCAACACUUGGACCUCCAAGGGCUGUACCCAGAGCUGUACCUGCAUAGAAGGGGCCAUCCAGUGCCAGAAUUCCCAGUGUCCCCCUGGGACUUACUGCAAGGACAGCAGUGAUGGCAGCGGUUCCUGUGUCGAAAUCACUCUGCAGUGCCCCGCCCACAGCCUGUUCACUGACUGCCUUCCCUCCUGUCUGCCUUCCUGCUUGCACCCGGAUGGCCUCUGUAAAGGAGUCAGUCCCACAGUCCCUUCCACUUGCAAGGAGGGCUGCGUCUGUCAAUCUGGCUAUGUGCUGAGUAAUAACAAGUGUAUACUCAGAAAUCAGUGUGGCUGCAAAGACGCCCACGGCGUUCUCAUCCCAGAAGACAAGACCUUGAUCUCCAGAGACUGUACCCAGAGCUGUGUCUGUACAGAAGGGAGCAUCCAGUGCCUGGUUUUCCAGUGUCCCCCUGGGACUUACUGCAGGGACAGUGGUGAUGGCAGCGGUACCUGUGUCAAAAUCAGUAAGGGGGCCAUGGGGGAAGAUGGGGAAGCUGUCCUGCUG